UGCAUGCAUUUUGCCCGGUGAUCGCUGCUGUGUGUCGGAUCAUAUCGGACUGCGCGUCCAUGGCUUCUUGUGGGGCGCGUCCCCCGCGGGGCUGCGCGCACACAGUGUCUCGUGUGAGUAGAGUAAGUUAUCCAGUCCAGGGAGAGAUUCGGUGAGCAGAAAAAAUCGAAACAAUAAACACUAUAUUGGAGGUUAUUUUUAUUUAUCUUAAGAAGAACACGUUGCGGAUUCCUCUACAAUAUUUCUGUGGGCAUUUUGCCAGGAUCACUUACCGGCUACACCGCGUCCAAUGUCUUUUUGUUGGGUGAACAGAUAGACUGACUGGGAGUUUAAACACUGGACUUUAUCCUGUUGUGGGUUUCAGAAUAGCCCGGCUGCUUGCAGUCAUGUCCACGGCAAGGGUGGACUACAUUGCUCCAUGGUGGACUUACUGGCUGCACAAUUUUCCUCACAUCAACCUCCGACUUAAACCCGUGGACGGCAGCUUUAACCCGCAGGAGGAUAAUUAUCAGCAGUCUCUGAUCUUCCUGGUGUGCGUGGUGGCCGCUGGCCUGGGCCUCAACCUGCUCUUCUUGGCUAUCUACCUGGGCUGCCUGUGCUGCUGCCGGAGUGACGAGGAGGACGAGGAGGAGACCAAGAGACCUAGAUCCUGCUGUGUCACCUGGACAGCGGUCAUUGCAGGGCUCCUGUGCUGCGCUGCUGUUGGUGUUGGUUUCUAUGGAAACAGUGAAAUGAACGAUGGCGUGUACCAGGUGACCUACUCCCUCUACCAUGCCAACCACACCCUGAAAGGAGUCAACACACUGGUUUCAGGCACGAUGGACAGCAUGCAGGGCAGUCUGAAGCAGCACCUGGCCCGACUGGACGAGAUCUUUGCAAUGCGCGGCGAUUACAUCCAGACCCUGCGCUUCAUACAGCAGAUGGCUGACAACAUCAUCUUGCAGCUGACCGGCCUCCCGGACUGGGGUCAGACCAAAGUAGACCUGGCCAGGAUUGCUGACCAGACCAACUACGUGGAGUACUACAGGUGGCUCACUUACCUGCUGCUGCUGAUCCUCGACCUGGUCAUCUGCCUGGUGGCCUGUCUAGGUCUGGCGAAGCAGUCUCGCUGGCUGCUCACCACAAUGAUGACGUUUGGGGUCCUGACCCUGAUCCUGAGCUGGGCGUCGCUGGGGGUGGACACAGCUACAGCAGUUGGCACCAGUGACUUCUGUGUGGCUCCAGACAAGUUCAUCAUGAACCUGACUCACAGUGGAAUCAGCACAGAUAUUGUGCAUUAUUACCUGUACUGCAGCCAGAGCAUGCCUAACCCCUUCCAGCAGGCAUUGACAAUCUACCAGCGUUCAGUGACCACCAUGCAGAUCCAGAUUCAAGGGCUGCUCCAGUUUGCAGUGCCCAUGUUCCCCACUGCAGAGAGAGAUUUGCUGGGGAUUCAGAAGCUGUUGAACAGUUCUGAAGCCAGCCUGCACCAGCUCACUGCCCUGCUGGACUGCCGGAGCCUGCACAAGGACUACCUGGACGCUCUGAUCGGUGUGUGUUACGAUGGGGUCGAGGGGCUGCUGUAUCUCAGCCUCUUCUCACUGCUGGCAGCCACUGCCUUCUGUGCCAUGCUGUGUGCCAUCCCCCGCGCCUGGAGACACUUUGAUAACAGGGAUCGUGAUUAUGAUGACAUCGACGAGGAGGACCCCUUCAACCCCCAGGCGCGGCGCAUCGCAGCCCACAAUCCCGUGCGGGGACAGAUCCACAGCUUCUGCAGCUACAGCAGCAGCAUGGGCAGCCAGAGCAGCCUGCAACCCCCAGCACAGGCCGUGUCUAACGCACCCGUCUCCGAGUACAUGAACCAGUCGGUGCUGUUCGGAGGGAACCCUCGCUAUGAGAACGUUCCCCUGAUAGGGAGAGGCUCCCCUCCCCCCUCGGUGCGUUGGGUCCCAGAGGCCAAGUCCUUCCUCUGAUCACACCUGCUUAUCGCUCCUCUUGUUAGGCACACAGCCACAGCACUAGAGAAAGUGUCUCACUCGAGGUGUAGGACGCAGGACACACACACACACACACACAACCCCCUUUAGGACACUCCCUCUUUAUACUCCCCAAUGGCACAGUUAUGGAGCAUUAACACUAGAAAAACCGACCGUUCUAUAACUGGGCCCAAUGUUACUGCCAAUGAAAUGCUCAUCUCAUUGUAGACCCCUAGUGUUACCAUUGCCCCUCGGGACAGAACCAUCGCCAUUGAAGAUCAUUUAAGAGUACUGCUGUUCUCAUUCAUGCAUGUAUUUAUUUAUUUAUUUAUUUAUUUAUAAUAAUUAUUGUAUUUAGUUUUGAGCAUCCAACCUUUCAGUUGAAAGCAUUUGAGGUAUAAUCCUUGCCAUGUUGCCUCCUGUGUACUAAGUAUUGCUGCAAAUCAAGCUAUAAGGGGAAGUGAUGGAGAAGCACUACUUCUUAAGUUUUUUUUUGCCACGUUUGGUGGGCUGUGAUUAUAACGGGAGUGGCCAAGUUUUCCUGUGACUAGGCGCUCGGAGGGGUCUGAUGAAAUGCCAAUGUCCCUUUAAGACACAGUACCUGAGCCCCCCUCCUCUCCCCCGCCACUUUGCUCUUCUGUUUUCAGCUAAUAGCGCUUUUGUAUUUUUGUUUGUUUGUUUGUUUUUUCAACUUUUUGUGGAGCUAAUCUCCCAGCCAUUUAAAAAAAGAUACUCUCCGAGCAUGAGGGCCACUUACCUGUCUGUGACUGAGGACCAGCUGAGGCACACUGGGAGUGAUUUGCAGGUGUAGCCGUGCCCUGGGGUCCUCCAUCUGUCUGUGACGCUGUCGCCAUGAGCACAGUUAAUAACCUGCAAUCCUGCACUGACAGACUGGCCACUGGGGUGGAGGAGUCGGUGACAAAUACUCACUGUUAGGGACAAGCCACUCAGGCUCUUAAUGAAAUGAGAGUUUAGCUUGAAGGAGGAUGGGGGUGGGGGGAGGGGAUUUCUGUGUCUUCCCUCUCUGUCAAUCUCACUGUGGGGCCGCUAUUCUUAAUGGGGGCAUUUUAUUAUUUUAUUAUGUUGAUCUGUAUAGAUAUAGAGAUGUAGGCCACACUUUAAGAAUCUAUUUCUAAAAUAAUUAAUCAUUACCAUUGUAAUACUAAGGUCGCCCUAAUUACUGUACAUGUUCUUAUAAAACUGUAUUGCUAUAGCCAGUAAUUAUUAAUAGGUAUCCGAUAUUGUUUAUAACACAGUUAUGGGUACGCUGUUGGUUGUAUAGUAACAGAUCUUUAAACUAAAGUGUUUCCAAUAUAUGCUGUAACAGCGGAGUCACUAGGGCAUUUUAAAACCCUCCUAAAAAUGCCCUAGUGAUCGUUGCUAACUUUUAACUGGAGUAAAUUAUUAGCAAAUCUGGCCAGUCAUUCCUGCAGGGGGCAACACUCGCCUCUCAAUGGAACUGCAGUCAUUAGGUUUGAAAUGCAAUCAGUGUAGGCACCUGUUCCAAACACAGUGCCAUCUUUAAUUGCUGUUUUUAGUUUUUUUUGUUUUUUUUAAAUUAAAACUAUCAAGGUUAAUUGCAAUAAUUUAUUGAAAAUAUGCACAUUUUACAGGACUGUUCUUUUAUUGCAGAGUUGUAUUAAAAUGGGAACAGGAAGUCUCCUACAGUGAAAUUGCUUCCAGGAUAACUAAUGAAAUAAUUUCAAAACUAAAAGGCAUUGCAGAUUAGCAUGUAUGUAUGCAAGCGUACACAGGUCUGCAGCGUUGGAAAGAGUUUCAUCAAAACAUUCCUAAACUAAUCACUCUUUAAUAUGUAGCAGUUUUUAAAACCAUUAAAAAAAAACACUAAGUAAUAAGAAACUUUUAGUUUUUAUUCUUUUAAUGAUUUUUUUAAUGUGUGUAAAGGAACAAUUGAUGCCAUCAGUGCUAGAACUUAAUGUAAUAAGUUAUUUAAACUGUGGACACAAAACUGACGUUUCAUGUGUACACAAGACCAAGAAAUAAAAGGACUGAGCGCUUCGAAUGUUGCAUGAGAUGCUGCAGGUUCACUUCGUUUGAAAGGAAAAAUAGUCAAAUAAUUACGCUGCUAAUUUAAAUAAACUAUCAUAUUUACACCACAGUCGCUGUACUGAACCUCCACCAUUUUGAAACGUCCACCGAGUAAGCGCCUCAGAAUGUUAGCUAACGUUACGAAGCGCUCUCUCGGCGUGCAGGUCGUUCAAUAGAAAACGUCACGUAACCGUCUGGCGCAUGCUGCCGACUGAACGCACCUCAGGCUUCUUGGUUGGGACUGGGACUCUUGAAAUGUAUUUUUUGUUUACGACUGUAAGUCUCCCUGCAUAAGGGCAUCUGCUAAGAAAUAAAUAAUAAUAAUAAUAACUUAUCAAGUACUCGCACUUGUGGCUUCAAUUAAUUAACAGCGUGUUAACAGAGUGUUGAUGUCUGUUUUAAAAACACAGGUUUAUUAGCAAAUUUUGAGUUGCAAGUUGAAAUUCAAUAAGGAUUCUGGAGAAGAGUACUUCUCUCGCAUGGGCCUACAGACUCCUCCCUAUCCAGGUUAUUAUGACCAUGCAGGGGGGUUCACCCCCAUCCCCUCCCUCCCUGCCUGCCUGCCUGCCUGGGCCAUAACUCUUCUUCAGCACUUCCACGCACUGUAAUUCUGAAUGACUGUUUGAACUCUUAAAAGCACAAGGCAGACCAAAUCUAAUCGUGUGCAUGACUGGGUCAGGGACCAAUGCCAUCUUUCCAUCAGUCUUCCAAGACCUCCUGGUUUAUAAAAACAAAAACGCUGUGUGUGUGUGUGUGUGGCUUCUAAUAUGAAGCAGUUCAACUCUGAUCUGGGCUGCAUUGCUACAGUAUCAGAUGGAUAGGAGGCAUUAGCCUCUCUCACCAAAUUACUGUUAUUGGAUCUUACAAAUGAAAUAACCAUCUUCCAUUGCUGAUCUUGGUCUGCCUGUUCAUCUUUGGUGUUUUUUUUUUUUUUUUUCCUGUUUACUGAAAUGCAUUUUUUUCUAUUUAGACUUAUGUAUCCUUUUUAUUUCCGAACAAUUUCUUUUCUGUAAAUAUCUUGUAUGAUAUUAACAUUGAUUUGUAAGUCUGUGUGCCACAAGUGAUUUGAUAUAUCAAAUAUGUAAAGUUUGUCUUGCUAGGAUGAAGGUGCAUGUCCAAUCAGAUAGUCAGGUUGCUGGCCUUGCUGUUACCGUGCAGCCAAUCAAAAAAAAAAAAAAAAAGAGUAGGCAUGUACCUGCGUGCGUCUGUAUACAGGGUGGUUGAAAAGCCUUGGAUGUAUAAAAAUGAUUCUCUGCACCAAACGUUGUGACACAAGAUGUCACUGGGCUUUCAUUGCGGAGAAAGCAGCUUAGUGUAACAUUGUCACGCAGGACACACAAGACCCCUUGACUGAUGGUGUCCUUCAGUUCUGCUGGUUAUGUUUUUUUCCACAUCAGCAGCUGAUUUCAUAACCACUGGUCUGUAGAGUUGAGAACCAGCCUAGCAAGUAAGCAGGGUUAAAGCCCAGUAGCCAUGACUUAUAACAUUGGAACCAGUUCAGUAGCCACUGUGGCGGCUGGCCUGUGGACCAGCCUGCUGUUUUCUCCUCCACAGACUCCACAACCUUCACAGAAUCACUACAGGUUACCUCAAGUCCUGCUGGGAGCCCUGCCUUUUAUGCACACUGGAAUGCAAUGUGGUAGCUCACAAGUCAAGCCUCAAACUGUCUGUUAUCAAAGUUUGUGUGGGGAGUGCAGUAUACUGAUGUAAUGAACAGCAGAGCUGGGUGGAGUUUUUAUGCAUUAUUAUUCCAGUACCCCCCCCCCACCCCCCCCCCCCCAAAAAAAUUAAAAACUAAAA